ACGUUUGAUUUGGGCAGGGAGAGGCUCUUGGUGUUGCAAAGCAGAUUCUGCCCCUGGAUGAAGCAUCUCCUGGCUUCUUGCCAGAAGGUGGGGGUGGGCGGGGGGUGGGGGGUGGGAAGGGACAGAGAGGUUGGCAGUUGGAGGAGAGGAAGCCUCGCUUUUCCAACACUGCGACAUGGGUGAAGUUGCAUUAAUCUUGCAUCAGCCUCCCCUCCAAGCUGUGGGGCUGGACCACCAUCUGCCCCCACAUCUUGGAGGAAUGGUGGUCCUGCCCCGAGGUCCCAAACUGAUUAUCCUGUCUCUACCCUAGGGCUUAAUGUAGUGCUUGGCACUUAGUAAGUGCAAAAUGAGUACCAUCAUUAUUAUUCUGGUUAUUAUUUGAAGUAAUGGUUUUUAUUGAGUGCAGCGUAUUUAGUAAUGACUUGGCAAGUACGGCAGAAGCACAAGACAGUGUUCUCCCUUCCCCCUCCGACUGUGAAUCCCAUGUGAGACAGGGGCUGUGUCUGAUUUGCUUAUCUUGUACGUACCCCAGCGCUUAGUAAGUUCUUGGCCCUGGUAAGUACUCAACAAAUACCUUAAUUAUCAUGAUUAUUAAAAAGACAAGUCCCUGCUCACAAGGAGCUUAUGCUUUAGCAUCUGGUUGAUGGCAUGUAUCCUUGUCCAGUGGUGUAUUUCUCAUGAAAAGCUGUGAUGGUGUUUCAGGAAAACGACACAUUGAACGAAACUCUGACUUUCGUGAGUGGCAAGAAGCUCAAAGAGGAGCUCAGGAAGAUGCAAGUUGACUGUCCAGAAAAAGCUCCUCUAGGACUACUUUGUCCCAAAGCAGAUGAUCAGGUCUCUGUGGCUGAGGAAGUUGCAGAAAACAGGAAACAAUGGAAUAAAGAAGCCCCAGAGACACUGAUGAACAUCCUGGCAGCCGCGGAUCUGACCAGCGAUUCCUUCUCUGCGAGCGAAGGACAGUUUGGUAAGGGGUGA
rnacentral:lncRNA from 1 species